rnacentral:tRNA from 1 species
GGGUUUAUAGCUCAGUUGGUCAGAGCGCCUGCCUUACAAGCAGGGAGUCGGGGGUUCGAAUCCCUCUGGACCCA